GAUGAACGCUAGCGGCAGGCUUAAUACAUGCAAGUCGAGGGGGCAGCAAUGUCACCGGCGGACGGGUGCGUAACGCGUAUGGAACCUACCUUUAUCAGGGGGAUAGCCCGGGGAAACCCGGAUUAAUACCGCAUAAUAUAAGUUACGGCAUCGUGAUUUAUUGAAAGAUUUAUUGGAUAGAGAUGGUCAUGCGUAGGAUUAGCUAGUUGGUAAGGUAACGGCUUACCAAGGCGACGAUCCUUAGGGGCUCUGAGAGGAGUAACCCCCACACUGGCACUGAGAUACGGGCCAGACUCCUACGGGAGGCAGCAGUAGGGAAUAUUGGGCAAUGGGCGAGAGCCUGACCCAGCCAUGCCGCGUGCAGGAAGACGGCCCUCUGGGUUGUAAACUGCUUUUGAAUGGGAAGAACGGUAGGCCUGCGGGCUUAAUUGACGGUACCAUUAGAAUAAGCCACGGCUAACUACGUGCCAGCCGCCGCAGUAAAAC
rnacentral:rRNA from 1 species